rnacentral:rRNA from 1 species
AGUGAACGCUGGCGGUAGGCCUAACACAUGCAAGUCGAACGGCAGCACAGUAAGAGCUUGCUCUUACGGGUGGCGAGUGGCGGACGGGUGAGGAAUACAUCGGAAUCUACUUUUUCGUGGGGGAUAACGUAGGGAAACUUACGCUAAUACCGCAUACGACCUACGGGUGAAAGCAGGGGAUCUUCGGACCUUGCGCGAUUGAAUGAGCCGAUGUCGGAUUAGCUAGUUGGCGGGGUAAAGGCCCACCAAGGCGACGAUCCGUAGCUGGUCUGAGAGGAUGAUCAGCCACACUGGAACUGAGACACGGUCCAGACUCCUACGGGAGGCAGCAGUGGGGAAAAUUGGACAAUGGGCGCAAGCCUGAUCCCGCCAUACCGCGUGGGUGAAGAAGGCCUUCGGGUUGUAAAGCCCUUUUGUUGGGAAAGAAAAGCAGCAGGUUAAUACCCCGCUGUUCUGACGGUACCCAAAGAAUAAGCACCGGCUAACUUCGUG